GAUACGGAUCCGAUAGGACAAAUUUCUAACAAUGGUGUGGAGCAAACUUAUAUCAUUCCAAUGGAUCUAAGAGUAGUUCAAAAUCAUAUUCAUAUAAUCCAUAUAUAUUUGGGGCGUGCUUUAACUCAUAUGGGACAGAUUUGGUGCAACAUUUGCAAUCAUAGGCUGAGGGAGCCUAAUCAAACCUAUAGGCUAAAACUACAUAAAGGAAAGCCUAAAGUGAAGAUCAAGUAAGGCUUUUGUGAAGAUUCAACUUUGUUAUGAUAGGCUUGCUAGUUUUAUUAUUUAAACACUUGUUUUAUUUUAGUUUUGUUUGGGCUUGUAUUCUGGCCAUAUUUUAUCUUUUAAGUUUUAGAGUGUUGGGCCAUGUUGU
rnacentral:lncRNA from 1 species